GGGAGGCGUCGGCGCCGUACUGGGCGCCGUACUGGGAGGCGGCGCCGUACUGGGAGGCGCCGUACUGGGAGGCGCCGCCGUACUGGGCGCCGUACUGGGCGGCGGCGCCGUACUGGGCGGCGCCGUACUGGGAGGCGGCGGCGUACUGGGAAGCGGCGGCGCCGUACUGGGAGGCGGCGCCGUACUGGGAGGCGCCCGCCCCGUACUGCCCGGCGGCCAUUUGGGCGCCGCCGCCAUACUGGGAGGCGCCUGCCCCAUACUGGGAGGCGCCGGCGCCGUACUGGGCGGCCCCGGCGCCCCCAGUGCCGUACUGGUACGCAGUCACCUGGGCCGAGGCGCCGUACUGGGAGGCGCCGGCCAUGUUGGCGGCGUACUGGGAGGCGGCGCCGGCGGCCAUGUUGUUGGCGGCCAUGUUGCCGGCGGCCAUGUUGUUGGCCAUGCUGUUGGCGGCCAUGUUGCCGGCGUUGGCCAUGUUGCUGGCGGCCAUGUUGGUGGCGCUGGCGGCCAUGUUGCCGGUGGCGGCGAGGCGGGCGGAGCCGGCCGCCGCCAUGGCGGGGGUCAUGGCGAAGGGCGAGCGGGAGCCGCCGGUGCCCAUGCUUCCCUGGAGGCGGUGGUAGCAGGAGCCCAGGCGUCCGGAGCAGCCCAUGCCCAUGCUGCCCUGGAGCCGGUGGAUGCAGGAGCCCAGGCGUCCGGGGCAGCCCAUGCCCACGCUGCCCUGCAGGCGGUGGAUACAGGAGCCCAGGCGUCCGGGGCACCCCAUGACGUUGCCCUGGAGCCGGUGGAUGCAAGGGCCCAGGCGUCCGGCGGGGAAAGCGCCGCCGCCGCUUCCCCCGCGCCCCGGCGUGGAGAGGAAAGGGGACCCAGGCGUCCG
rnacentral:lncRNA from 1 species